CCCAGAUGUUGGUAACCUUCAUUUCCUCUUCAUUAUCCUGGUAGAUGGUCGCAGAGUUUAGUCCAGAAUAUCUUGGAUCCAAUUCAAGUUAUCCAGGCUUGCAACAGCUGGAACCCCCCGCAAUAGGGACCACCAUUUGAAACAAACCAGGCAGUCCUCACUCCACCAAGUGAACGCCGUCCAUACACGGUAUUUGGAUCAUCACUGCCUGCGUCUACUCACCACAGCUGCUUGCCACAAAACUCUCCACACCAUCGAAGGAACCCUUAGACUUUACCGCACAGACGCACCGGGCCAGCCGCCGAGCAGAGCCAGUCCGUGCCACGGAGCCCAGCACAUCAGGGGCUACCAUCUCAGGGAUACGGAGCGCAUAAAUUUCUAAUACAUCGGAAAAGGCAUAAAGUUAUGCUGGACACCUUAAAGAAUCACCCGUGUGAAUACAGAAGACACAUCUGCUCCCAACUGGAUCGAUGAUUUUCCGGAUUUUCCAUUUUGCUUUGUAAAAUAUUGAUAAUGCAAUAAGUCAUGUGAUCCUUUUGUUAUGUAUUUUAAUGUGUGUGUAACGUUGUUUAGUCAGUCUAUGAUUAAGCACGCAAGUGCGAAACGCAUCAGACAAUUUGCUCUGUCGUGACGACUGUCUGAGGAUUAUUAAAUAAAGCAUAUC